UUGCUACUCCCUCCGUCCGGAAAUACUUGUCAUCAAAAUGAAUAAAAGAGGAUGUACCUAGAUGUAUUUUAGUCUAGAUACAUUCCUUUUUGUCCAUUUUGAUGACAAGUAUUUUCGGACGGAGGGAGUACUUC
rfam:Triticum aestivum genome assembly, contig: Triticum_aestivum_CS42_TGACv1_scaffold_513382_6BS